UACGAAGGGGGCUAGCGUUGCUCGGAAUCACUGGGCGUAAAGGGUGCGUAGGCGGGUCUUUAAGUCAGGGGUGAAAUCCUGGAGCUCAACUCCAGAACUGCCUUUGAUACUGAAGAUCUUGAGUUCGGGAGAGGUGAGUGGAACUGCGAGUGUAGAGGUGAAAUUCGUAGAUAUUCGCAAGAACACCAGUGGCGAAGGCGGCUCACUGGCCCGAUACUGACGCUGAGGCACGAAAGCUAGGGGAGCAACAGG
rnacentral:rRNA from 1 species